UUGAACGCUGGCGGCAGGCUUAACACAUGCAAGUCGAGCGGAUGAAAGUAGCUUGCUACUGGAUUCAGCGGCGGACGGGUGAGUAAUGCUUAGGAAUCUGCCUAUUAGUGGGGGACAACGUUCCGAAAGGAGCGCUAAUACCGCAUACGUCCUACGGGAGAAAGCAGGGGACCUUCGGGCCUUGCGCUAAUAGAUGAGCCUAAGUCGGAUUAGCUAGUUGGUAGGGUAAAGGCCUACCAAGGCGACGAUCUGUAGCGGGUCUGAGAGGAUGAUCCGCCACACUGGGACUGAGACACGGCCCAGACUCCUACGGGAGGCAGCAGUGGGGAAUAUUGGACAAUGGGGGGAACCCUGAUCCAGCCAUGCCGCGUGUGUGAAGAAGGCCUUUUGGUUGUAAAGCACUUUAAGCGAGGAGGAGGCUACCUAGAUUAAUACUUUAGGAUAGUGGACGUUACUCGCAGAAUAAGCACCGGCUAACUCUGUGCCAGCAGCCGCGGUAAUACAGAGGGUGCGAGCGUUAAUCGGAUUUACUGGGCGUAAAGCGUGCGUAGGCGGCCAAUUAAGUCAAAUGUGAAAUCCCCGAGCUUAACUUG
rnacentral:rRNA from 1 species